ACGAACGACCACAGAUACGUGAAAGCUAGGCAUCCCGUCCGCUCUGCCAUAUAUAAGCACGUAAUCGCUGGAUUAGUACUACGGUGGGUGACCACGUGGGAAUCCCCAGUGUUGUUCGUU
rnacentral:rRNA from 13 species